rnacentral:rRNA from 1 species
GAUGAACGCUAGCGGCAGGCUUAAUACAUGCAAGUCGAGGGGGCAGCAAUGUCACCGGCGAACGGGUGCGUAACACGUAUGCAACCUACCUAUAUCAGGGGGAUAGCCCGAGGAAACUCGGAUUAAUACCGCAUAACAUUAGGAUCGGCAUCGAUUUUAAUUGAAAGAUUUAUUGGAUAUAGAUGGGCAUGCGUAGGAUUAGCUAGUUGGUAAGGUAACGGCUUACCAAGGCUACGAUCCUUAGGGGCUCUGAGAGGAGUAUCCCCCACACUGGCACUGGGAUACGGGCCAGACUCCGACGGGAGGCAGCAGUAGGGAAUAUUGGGCAAUGGGCGAAAGCCUGACCCAGCCAUGCCGCGUGCAGGAAGACGGCCCUCUGGGUUGUAAACUGCUUUUGAAUGGGAAGAAAGGUAUGCUUGCGAGCGUAAUUGACGGUACCAUUAGAAUAAGCCACGGCUAACUACGUGCCAGCCGCCGCCGUAA